GUUUUAUAUGUGCCCGUACCGCAAACCGACACAGGUGGAUGAGGAGAGAAUCCUAAGGCCGACGGGAGAAGUAUUGUUAAGGAACUCGGCAAAAUGACUCCGUAACUUCGGGAGAAGGAGUGCCAUGAGAGUGGCCGCAGAGAAAUGGCCCAAGCAACUGUUUAGCAAAAACACAGGUCUAUGCAAAACCGCAAGGUGAAGUAUAUGGGCUGACGCCUGCCCGGUGCUGGAAGGUUAAGGGGAGAGGUUAGCGCAAGCGAAGCUUUGAACUUAAGCCCCAGUAAACGGCGGCCGUAACUAUAACGGUCCUAAGGUAGCGAAAUUCCUUGUCGGGUAAGUUCCGACCCGCACGAAAGGCGUAAUGAUUUGGGCACUGUCUCAACGAUACACCCGGUGAAAUUGAAAUACCAGUGAAGAUGCUGGUUACCUGCGCCAGGACGGAAAGACCCCAUGGAGCUUUACUCCAGUUUGAUACUGGGAUUCGGCAUGGUAUGUACAGGAUAGGUGGGAGACUGAGAAGGUAUGACGUCAGUUGUACCGGAGUCGCUGUUGGGAUACCACCCUUACCAUGUUGGAUUUCUAACCUGUGGCCGUGAACCGGUCAGGGGACAAUGUCAGGCGGGGAGUUUGACUGGGGCGGUCGCCUCCGAAAGGGUAUCGGAGGCGCUCAAAGGUUCCCUCAGAAUGGUUGGAAACCAUUCGAAGAGUGCAAAGGCAGAAGGGAGCUUGACUGUGACACCGACGGGUGGAGCAGGUACGAAAGUAGGACUUAGUGAUCCGGUGGUAUAAAGUGGGAUUGCCAUCGCUCAACGGAUAAAAGCUACCCUGGGGAUAACAGGCUUAUCACUCCCAAGAGUUCACAUCGACGGAGUGGUUUGGCACCUCGAUGUCGGCUCAUCGCAUCCUGGAGCUGUAGCAGGUUCCAAGGGUUGGGCUGUUCGCCCAUUAAAGCGGUACGCGAGCUGGGUUCAGAACGUCGUGAGACAGUUCGGUCCCUAUCCGGCGCAGGCGGAGGAAAUUUGAUAGGAGCUGUCCUUAGUACGAGAGGACCGGGAUGGACGGACCGCUGGUGUAUCUGUUGUACUGCCAAGUGCAUCGCAGAGUAGCCAAGUCUGGAAGGGAUAAACGCUGAAGGCAUCUAAGCGUGAAGCCCCCCUAAAGAUAAGAUUUCCCAUACCGAAAGGUAGUAAGACCCCUUGAAGACGACGAGGUAGAUAGGGCAGAGGUGGAAGU
rnacentral:rRNA from 1 species